AUGGACAUGAGGACCCCUGCUCAGCUCCUCGGGCUCCUGCUGCUCUGGUUACCAAGUGCCAGAUGUGACAUCCAGGUGACCCAGUUUCCAUCCUCCCUGUCUGCAUCUCUGGGAGACAGAGUCACUAUCUCAUGUUGGGUCAGUCAAGGCAUUAGCAAUUAUUUAAACUGGUACCAGCAGAAACCAGGGAAAGCUCCUAAGCGCCUGAUCAAUGCUGUAUCCAACUUGGACAGUGGGGUCCCAUCGAGGUUCAGUGGCAGUAGGUCUGGAACAGAUUAUUCUCUCACCAUCAGCAGCCUGGAGUCUGAAGACUUUGCAAUUUAUCACUGUCAGCAAUUUUAUAAUACCCCUCCCACAAUGACAUAA